AUGGAAGCCAUCUUUGAGCCCAGUAUCCAGUUCUUAUUAUACUCUAUUCUAUUCUAUUUGAUGAAACUUGAAAAGCACCCACUGAAGCCCAUGAUGUGCACAUGAUAGGAAGAAAUGAGGGAGAGAAAUGGUUGGGAGAGAGAGGACACUGAAG